GCAGACUGCUCGCCCCACCCGCGCGCCCAGGUCGCCUCGGCAGGGACUCAGGGAUGCUUCCUCCUCCACCGUUUCCCGGGACUGGAAGCUGAGGCCCCCGCGGGUAACCCAGCCAGGACAGGAACAAUCACGACUCGGGUCCACGGGGCACCUGGGCCACACCGGGGCCUGUCGAGACUGGCUGCCGCGCCCAGGGCGGGCCGCUCACCGCCGCAAGAGGCGCGGGCGGUAAGGACUGGCCCCUAACCUCUGGAGCGCGAACCUGGGGGUCGCUGCUCCUAGUCACCCACUGAGGGAGCGGCCGCACCAGUAUCCCGAUGGGGAAACUGAGGACUGGAGCGGGGCAGAGCUUUGUGUGAGAUCGUGCGGGGGUCUGGAGGAUAGGUCUCCGCGACGCCGGGGACAGCAUCCCUCCCGCCACAGAGCCGCAGCCCGGGCGGGGUCGGGGCGGGGCGGGACGGAGAGGCCCCGCCUGUGCGCCGCCCGUCGCCCGCAGCUCGGUUCCCGUCCCGCGUGCACACACUCUCGCCUCCGACACGCUCUCGCCGCAGGCUUUGGGUGGGACUCGGGUCCCGAACCUCAGUUUCCCCUUGCUGAGAUGGAGACUGUCAUCGCGCCUGCCUCCCAGAUGGCUCGAAGCUGGAUCCCGCAGCGAGCGCCGGGACCGCAGCUCUGCAGGCGGCGGGAGAACUGGAGAGCGGAGGGCGGCUGCGCAUCCGGGAGAUCCUUCCCACUGCUGCCAUUAGGGGGCGCUGCGUCCAAGCCGCUCCCUCUUUCAGCCGGGUGCUCACUGAAUAUGGAAGAUAGGACGUCAUAUCUUUCAUAAUAACCACGCCACACCACCUGUCUUGGAAAGUGUUCUUCGUGUCUUGUAGUGAUGUGUUUGGUGGGGGGCGGGGGGGAGGAGGGAGACUAGCACUGUACCUGGCACAAAGUAGGUAUUGUAUAUAUUGUUAACUAAGAACACAAUUUAUUACAUUUGAUCUACCAACGCCUUCAAUGUAGUCAUAAUACUCCCAUUUCAUAGACAAGAAGUUGAGACUUUAGCUGAGUUCUUGGUAGGCUCUAUAACAAAUUU
rnacentral:lncRNA from 1 species